rnacentral:rRNA from 1 species
GAGUUUGAUCGUGGCUCAGGACGAACGCUGGCGGCGUGCUUAACACAUGCAAGUCACGGGGGCCCGCAAGGGUAACCGGCGAACGGGUGCGUAACACGUGAGCAAGCUUCCGAUUUGUGGGGGAUAGCCGGCCUAACGGCCGGGUAAUACCGCAUACGUUCACUGGACGGCAUCGUCUGGUGAGGAAACCUCCGGGGCAAAUCGAGGCGCUCGCGGCCUAUCAGCUAGUUGGCGGGGUAACGGCCCACCAAGGCGACGACGGGUAGCUGGUCUGAGAGGAUGGCCAGCCACAUUGGGACUGCGACACGGCCCAGACUCCUACGGGAGGCAGCAGUGGGGAAUAUUGCGCAAUGGACGAAAGUCUGACGCAGCGACGCCGCGUGUGGGAUGAAGCUCUUCGGGGGUGUAAACCACUGUUGCCCGGGACGAAAUGCCCUUUCGAGGGAAUUGACGGUACCGGGUGAGGAAGCACCGGCUAACUCUGUGCCAGCAGCCGCCGUAAC